rnacentral:rRNA from 1 species
GUGUCAGCAGCCGCGGUAAUACAGGGGGUGCAAACGUUGCUCGGAAUUAUUGGGCGUAAAGCGCGCGUAGGCGGCUACUUAAGUCGGAUGUGAAAGCCCCUGGCUCAACCGGGGAAGUGCACCCGAAACUGAGUAGCUUGAGUGCAAAAGAGGGCUGCGGAAUUCCCGGUGUAGAGGUGAAAUUCGUAGAUAUCGGGAGGAACACCGGUGGCGAAGGCGGCAGCCUGGGUUGACACUGACGCUGAGGCGCGAAAGCGUGGGGAGCAAACAGGAUUAGAAACCCUAGUAGUCC